rnacentral:rRNA from 1 species
GACGAACUUUGGCGGCGUGCUUAACACAUGCAAGUCGAACGGAAAGGCCCUGCUUUUGUGGGGUGCUCGAGUGGCGAACGGGUGAGUAACACGUGAGUAACCUGCCCUUGACUUUGGGAUAACUUCAGGAAACUGGGGCUAAUACCGGAUAGGAGCUCCUGCUGCAUGGUGGGGGUUGGAAAGUUUCGGCGGUUGGGGAUGGACUCGCGGCUUAUCAGCUUGUUGGUGGGGUAGUGGCUUACCAAGGCUUUGACGGGUAGCCGGCCUGAGAGGGUGACCGGCCACAUUGGGGCUGAGAUACGACCCAGACUCCUACGGGAGGCAGCAGUGGGGAAUAUUGCACAAUGGGCGGAAGCCUGAUGCAGCAACGCCGCGUGCGGGAUGACGGCCUUCGGGUUGUAAACCGCUUUCGCCUGUGACGAAGCGUGAGUGACGGUAAUGGGUAAAGAAGCACCGGCUAACUACGUGCCAGCAGCCGCGGUGAUACGUAGGGUGCGAGCGUUGUCCGGAUUUAUUGGGCGUAAAGGGCUCGUAGGUGGUUGAUCGCGUCGGAAGUGUAAUCUUGGGGCUUAACCCUGAGCGUGCUUUCGAUACGGGUUGACUUGAGGAAGGUAGGGGAGAAUGGAAUUCCUGGUGGAGCGGUGGAAUGCGCAAAUAUCAGGAAGAAACCCCCAGUGGCGAAGGGCGGUUUUCUGGGCCUUUUCCUGACGCUGGAGGAGCGAAAGCGUGGGGAGCGAACAGGCUUAGAUACCCUGGUAGUCCACGCUGUAAACGGUGGGUACUAGGUGUGGGGUCCAUUCCACGGGUUCCGUGCCGUAGCUAACGCUUUAAGUACCCCGCCUGGGGAGUACGGCCGCAAGGCUAAAACUCAAAGGAAUUGACGGGGCCCCGCACAAGCGGCGGAGCAUGCGGAUUAAUUCGAUGCAACGCGUAGAACCUUACCUGGGUUUGACAUGGAUCGGGAGUGCUCAGAGAUGGGUGUGCCUCUUUUGGGGUCGGUUCACAGGUGGUGCAUGGCUGUCGUCAGCUCGUGUCGUGAGAUGUUGGGUUAAGUCCCGCAACGAGCGCAACCCUUGUUCACUGUUGCCAGCACGUUAUGGUGGGGACUCAGUGGAGACCGCCGGGGUCAACUCGGAGGAAGGUGGGGAUGACGUCAAGUCAUCAUGCCCCUUAUGUCCAGGGCUUCACGCAUGCUACAAUGGCUGGUACAGAGAGUGGCGAGCCUGUGAGGGUGAGCGAAUCUCGGAAAGCCGGUCUCAGUUCGGAUUGGGGUCUGCAACUCGACCUCAUGAAGUCGGAGUCGCUAGUAAUCGCAGAUCAGCAACGCUGCGGUGAAUCCGUUCCCGGGUCU